AUAUCUCAGACUAUUUAACUGCAAAAAAAAAAAAACAUAUAGAAUAAUGUAUGAACACUGAUUUUUAGUCUUCCCAAUGAAAAAAUAAUCAAAGACUACAAAUAAUUAUAAGUAUAUAUUUUUUACUUCAAUACCACUAGAUGUUUUGUAAGCAACUAGCAAUCAGGUUUCCUAUAAUUAACAGAUUUGUUUCUCUAAAAUUAUACAUUACCAUUGUAUAGAUCAACUGUCAGAAUUUAAUCAACUCUAGUCUAGGUGAUAAGUUCUCUUUUAUCUUUUAUUUCAAUUUUUAUUUUUUUCCUUAAUUUAAUGUAGAUACGUACAAAGAGAGACAACUCUUAUCUUCCAAAUUUUCCAUGUACAACCUUUACAUUAUCAAACCAAAAAUCUAUCUAUCUAUAUUGUGUUUUUGAAAGGAAGGUACUGUCAUGUGAAUAGCAAAAAUAUAUUGAGGCUGUAAUAUUUUUUUCUGCUACAGAUUUCAUGAUCACAAUGUAUGUUUAAAUGAACAUUGAAUUUAUGUUAUCAAAUUUGUGAAUAUUGUUAGAUAUUUUGAUUGUUUUAUUCUUGCCAAAGGAAAGGAGACUGCUUUAGGACUGUUUUAAUAGUGUUCAUUUGAAUUUGCCUUUUCAGAAACUAAAGGACUAUGGGUAAUCUCAUUGUUCGUACACCAAAAUGACAAUAACAUUACAUCAUUGGUUGAAUUUCAAUUAUUUAGAAUGUUUUUAACCAAUCACAACGUUUUGGUGUACACUUUUCAAUGUGUCACCCAGAAUGCAUUAGAUUCUAAAACGACGAAUUAGGAAUAACUCCUGAUGUCAUGUGGAGCAAAGUGUGCCAUGUAAUUUCUUUUAUUUUUCAAAGUUCAUUUUAAUUAAACCAUAUUGAAAGACUGUCUCAAGAAGGAUCACAUUGUUAUUCCAUUAUUUUUGCAUCAUCAGUAAUUUAUUUGUAGCAGUUCAGUUAAAACUUCCAUACAUAAUCACAAUUGUUAAUUAGCCCAAUUUUUAUGGGUCACAUCAAGAAAUCUUUACUGUUUAGAAAAUUUCAUCACUUUCCAGCUGCAGGUCAUCAAAUAAAACAUUAUUUCAUUGCAUGAUCUUUUACCAACCUUUUCUAUUAAUAGAUUUACUUUUCCAAUGUAAAGUUCAAAAUUUGGGACAAAUAAAAGCAAACUUUCAUAAUAUGUCAACUCUCCAGAUAUGAGGGGAAUAGGAUAUUUAUUGGGACUCCGGGAUUGGGUGUUUUUUAAGCUCAGGAUUUGGGGAUUGACCCUUUCGUGAUCUGGGAAUUUUUUUUUUGAAUUUCAAAAUGUUGGGAUUUAAAUUAAUUUUUUUUAUAUUUGUUGUUAAGCCUGGGAUUUCUGGAUCAGGACCCUCAGAUAUUGAUAAUAGGAGCCUCCCAAUACUGGAAAUAUUCUAGUGCUAUCCCUGGGCAGGGAGUUCAAACCUAUAGCUAAGGAGAAAAUUUCUUACAGAACUUCACUCCUAAGUAUAUCACGGAAGCAGGAUAUUUCCUUUGCGAGGCAGUUUAACUGUUUUUGCAGCGCAGCUCAAUGAUGAGUCAAGAGUUUUUAAUCUCUGCUGAUUUUAAGCUAGUAUUUGUUUUAUAUAAAUUUAAAAGUAUUUAAUGGCCUUCCAACAUAUUUGUAUUAAAACAAACUUGUACAUUAGAAUUAUACAUAGUUUUCUAUUUACUGUUCAACGUUAUUCUGAUCUUCAGGGAACCAGUAUUCAUACCAGUAUUUUUACCAUUAUGGAAAGUACCUGGUAUCAAUUAAAUUUUUUUAAAUCAGAUUCAGGUUUUCUGGAGUGAAAUUUUAGAGUGGCCUAUUUCUCCAAUUUUGACAUUUUUUAAAAAUAAAAGUAGUUGGUCAAUAAUAUAGAGUUCUCACACUUUUUAAAUUUAUUAUAUGUGAAGUUUGACAGAAAGUACAAAUUUCUUCCUCAUGAUAAAAUUGAACUGCAAACUCUGAUAAUUUACCAGAAAUCUCAUCUAUACCUAUACAUGUGUAAAAUUUCAAAGUAAAAUGGAUCAAUAAAUAACCCAAUGAGCAAAUAUCAACAAGAUUGAUAAAACGUUUUACUAACAUUUUAUUUAAGUGAAACAAUAUUAAUUUUUGGUAUUUUAUACUCCAUCAAUUUUUACUUUUCCUAAAAGCUUAUUAAGCAACAACAAAAAAUUAUACUUGUUAACGUAUUAGAUAAAUGAUAAAAUAAAUCAAUUUUAGCAUAACAGAAUAGCAUUAUAUUCUUAAUUUAAGUUUUACUUAUUUGUUCUAUCAAGGAGGUUAUAUUAGAAGGAGAGAGGACAAAAGACGAUAAUU
rnacentral:lncRNA from 1 species